UACAUUUAAAAAGCAAAAUACUCAUAUUGAAUGAAGUACAUGUAAUGACGUUAUUUCUUAAGAAAAACUCUCUAAUCAAUCGGGCAAAAUGUAAAUCAUUGUCAUUUUAUAAAGCUUUAUUUUAGAUUGUUGUGGAGGAAGAGAGCAUUGAUUCGAGUGGGAGUGAAUUAUAGGACAGUUUUAAAUAUUCUUUGGAAAGAGCAAGUGAGCCCUGACCCAUUCCGGGCGGCAGUGCCCUUGAGCAGGGCACCGAACCCCCAAGUGCUCCCUGGCACAUGCUCCUGUGCACCUAUGUACUUGUAAGGUGUGUGUGUAUAAAGAAAACAGAGUGGAAACUGAAUGUUCCCCCAGGGGAGGUCCAUCUUCUUCAUCUUCUUCUUGGUGAUCAAUAAUCCAGGUCCCUGUUGGAGUCAGUCAGAGCAUUUCCAUAGAGAGACACUUUGCAUCAGCAGCACCAUGCUCCAGUGCUCUGGGACACUUUAUAGUCCUUAGAGUUGAACACUGGAUGACUGACAGCUGUCCUUCAUGACAACAGAAGCCACAGGAAUCCUCCUCAUCAAGAACAUGACUUUGAUCUGCGUCCUCAUCUGGACUCUCCUCUGCUGCUGCUUCACAGAGUCCAGAGUCCAGGUCACAGUGACUCAGUCUGGAGCAGUGAUCUCUGCUCCGGGACGCUCCGUCUCCAUCACAUGUACGACCAGUCCGAAGGUUUAUGGUGGAAACUAUUUAUUCUGGUACCAACAGAGGGAUGGAGGAACUCCUAAACUGCUCAUUAAGCAUACUAGCACUCGACCAUCAGGGAUUUCAAACCGUUUUACAGGCAGUGGAUCAAACUCUGACUUCACUCUGACCAUCAGUGGAGUCCAGACUGAUGAUGCAGCAGUUUACUACUGUGAGAGUUAUCAUGAGAUCAACAGUCAGUAUGUGUUCACACAGUGAAAAAGCGUCGUACAAAAACCUCCCUCAGUCAGACUGAACAGGAACUGAACUGACUGCUGCAGCUGGAAGCUACUGCAGAGACUGAUACACUUCACUGAGCACACACACACACACACACACACACACACACACACACAC